AAAGAGGAAAAAAAAAAAAAGUCCUUGCAUAAAGUGUACCAUUACACACCCUUCCUUUCCAUGCUUCCUCUUGUUCUUUUAUCAGCCAAGAACCAGUACCCACACCUCAAACUCAGAAAUUUCAAUCUUUGACUGGACCAUUUCAAAUAUUUAUUAACGAUGAAUUACAUUAUGUUUGGGAAAGAUCACAUAAGGUGAAAAUACUUUCAUCACAUUAAUUAAAAUCCAAUAUCUCAAGUCAAUCAAUAACCCAUGAUAGUAUAGAAGAUACAUUGUGCUAGUGUUUAAUAGUGAUGAAGAAAAUAAUACAGUACAAUAUCCAUACAAAUAAUAUGAAUAACUAGGUUUUCCUGGAUGAAUAAUUUGUUUCCUUUUCUUUGUUUACCUUUCAACUUUUUUGUGUUUACUAAGUACCUUAUCAUAUGACAACUCAACUCAACUCAAUUAAGCUU
rnacentral:misc_RNA from 1 species